rnacentral:rRNA from 1 species
GACGAACGCUGGCGGCGUGCCUAAUACAUGCAAGUUGAGCGAUGAAGAUUGGUGCUUGCACCAAUUUGAAGAGCAGCGAACGGGUGAGUAACGCGUGGGGAAUCUGCCUUUGAGCGGGGGACAACAUUUGGAAACGAAUGCUGAUACCGCAUAACAACUUUAAACAUAAGUUUUAAGUUUGAAAGAUGCAAUUGCAUCACUCAAAGAUGAUCCCGCGUUGUAUUAGCUAGUUGGUGAGGUAAAGGCUCACCAAGGCGAUGAUACAUAGCCGACCUGAGAGGGUGAUCGGCCACAUUGGGACGGAGACACGGCCCAAACUCCUACGGGAGGCAGCAGUAGGGAAUCUUCGGCAAUGGACGAAAGUCUGACCGAGCAACGCCGCGUGAGUGAAGAAGGUUUUCGGAUCGUAAAACUCUGUUGGUAGAGAAGAACGUUGGUGAGAGUGGAAAGCUCAUCAAGUGACGGUAACUACCCAGAAAGGGACGGCUAACUACGUG